rnacentral:rRNA from 1 species
CCUACGGGCGGCAGCAGUGGGGAAUAUUGCACAAUGGGCGAAAGCCUGAUGCAGCGACGCCGCGUGAGGGAUGAAGGCCUUCGGGUUGUAAACCUCUUUCGCUCAUGGUCAAGCCGCAACUUUGGGUUGUGGUGAGGGUAGUGGGUAAAGAAGCACCGGCUAACUACGUGCCAGCAGCCGCGGUAAUACGUAGGGUGCGAGCGUUGUCCGGAAUUAUUGGGCGUAAAGGGCUUGUAGGCGGUUUGUCGCGUCUGCCGUGAAAUCCUCUGGCUUAACUGGGGGCGUGCGGUGGGUACGGGCAGACUUGAGUGCGGUAGGGGAGACUGGAACUCCUGGUGUAGCGGUGGAAUGCGCAGAUAUCAGGAAGAACACCGGUGGCGAAGGCGGGUCUCUGGGCCGUUACUGACGCUGAGGAGCGAAAGCGUGGGGAGCGAACAGGAUUAGAUACCCGGGUAGUC